rnacentral:rRNA from 1 species
CGGCGGACGGGUGAGUAAUGCCUAGGAAUCUGCCUGGUAGUGGGGGACAACGUUUCGAAAGGAACGCUAAUACCGCAUACGUCCUACGGGAGAAAGCAGGGACCUUCGGGCCUUGCGCUAUCAGAUGAGCCUAGGUCGGAUUAGCUAGUUGGUGAGGUAAUGGCUCACCAAGGCGACGAUCCGUAACUGGUCUGAGAGGAUGAUCAGUCACACUGGAACUGAGACACGGUCCAGACUCCUACGGGAGGCAGCAGAU